rnacentral:lncRNA from 1 species
CUUUGGAUGUGUCUAUUUUGUUCAUUUACCUCCACAUGAACAAAACAAACUUUCAAAUGCGCGUUUAUGGGUUAUAGUGUUUCUCAUAAAGGAUAUGUUUGCUAUGAUCCAUGCUCCAAUAGAUUUCGUAUCUCUCGUCAUGUUGUUUUUUUCGAAAAUCAAUAUUUCUUUCCCACUCAUGUUGAGCCUUUACGGAAGACACCUGCCCUUCCACAUUUUGAUGAGUUGUCCUCUACCCCUGAACGGUUCAAACCUGGAUUCGUGUAUGAACGACGACGCCCAACUUUGCCCCUCCAUGUACCAAACCCGCCAUCUGAGACUGCACAGACACAACCUUCCAUGAAUGAGCUAGACAUGGACACCAAUAUUCGCCGUUCCACCAGAACUUCUCGUCCUCCUGAUCGGUAUAGAUUUUCUCAUACAUCUCUUCAUGCUACUUUGUCAUCUAUUCCCAUACCUACAGGGUACUCUGAAGUAGUAAAACAUGAAUGCUGGGGAGAAGCAAUGGCAGACGAACUUCGUGCACUUAAAGAUAAUGACACUUGGGAUGUUGUUCCUUGUCCUAAGAAUGUUAAGGCCCUUGGUUGCAAAUGGGUUUAUUCAAUCAAAUUACGGUCUGAUGGGACUUUGGAUAGAUACAAGGCACGAUUGGUUGCUCUUGGUAAUAGACAGGAAUAUGGUGUUGAUUAUGAGGAAACUUUUGCUCUAGUAGCCAAGAUGACCACCAUAUGAAUGGUUAUUUCUAUUGCUGCUUCUCAAGGUUGGCCGCUCCAACAAAUGGAUGUAAAAAAUGCCUUUCUCCAUGGAAAUCUCAAAGAAGAAGUUUACAUGACACUACCUCCAGGCUUAACCUCUAGCUCAUCCUUAGAAGCCUGUAAGUUGAAGCGUUCAUUAUAUGACUUGAAACAGGCUCCACGAGCAUGGUUUGAUAAGUUCUUAUCUACCUUGCUUCAUUAUUCAUUUCAACAGAGCCAGUAUGACUCUUCCUUGUUCCUUUGCAAGAACUCUACCGGUAUUGUUCUUCUCCUCAUCUAUGUUGAUGAUAGUAAUUACCGGAACGGAUUCCGCUUUGAUUACUCGUCUACAGCAGCAUCUUGAGGCCUCUUUUCAUAUGAAGGAUCUUGGAUCUCUUACGUACUUCUUAGGGCUAGAAGUUCACACACAUUCCUUUGGUAUUUUCCUGAAUCAACAAAAAUACACGCAAGAGUUAAUUAAGUUGGCCGGUCUUCAGGAUUCAUCUACUAUGGAUACUCCUCUAAAAGUAAAUACAAAGUAUCGUUGUGAAGAAGGAGAUCUUCUCUCUGAUCCUACCGUGUUUCGUCAACUGGUGGGAAGCCUGAAU